CCUACGGGAGGCUGCAGUGGGGAAUAUUGGACAAUGGGGGCAACCCUGAUCCAGCCAUGCCGCGUGUGUGAAGAAGGCCCUCGGGUUGUAAAGCACUUUCAGUGAGGAAGAACGCCUGGUGGUUAAUACCCAUCAGGAAAGACAUCACUCACAGAAGAAGCACCGGCUAACUCCGUGCCAGCAGCCGCGGUAAUACGGAGGGUGCGAGCGUUAAUCGGAAUUACUGGGCGUAAAGCGCGCGUAGGUGGCUUGAUAAGCCGGUUGUGAAAGCCCCGGGCUCAACCUGGGAACGGCAUCCGGAACUGGCUAGCUAGAGUGCAGGAGAGGAAGGUAGAAUUCCCGGUGUAGCGGUGAAAUGCGUAGAGAUCGGGAGGAAUACCAGUGGCGAAGGCGGCCUUCUGGACUGACACUGACACUGAGGUGCGAAAGCGUGGGUAGCAAACAGGAUUAGAUACCCCAGUAGUC
rnacentral:rRNA from 1 species